GGUCCCUGCUCUGCCUCUGGCUUGCCAUGUGACAGACGACACGUCAUAACUUCUGGGGCGUGUUUCCCAUCGCGGGCAGGAACCCACAGGAAAUGGGCAAAGGCCUAAAGAGGUACUUUCCCCGAAAAAGAAAUACACUGCUUCUGGAGGCACAAAAACUGUCCGGCCUCGCUUGUAAUUAGGUACGUUCAAAAGUGACAACGUGUUUUACUCAUCAGGCUGGUUAAGAUGAAAGCAGCAUCCUGUGACCCGGGCUGCUGGGAAGUGGCCACUGUCCUUGUCUGCAGCUCUUGCUCGUGGGCCUGCUGUGUUUGCUCAGCCUCUAGGGGUUUCGGUGGGGGCCUCAGAAGGGCAUCUGACACCCAAAGAGGCACGAAUUUGACUUGCUGCCUUCCCCAGCUGGUCUGGUGACGGCCCCUUCCUACUCACUGCGGAAUAUGCUCCCACUGCAAACACGGCUCCAACUUUCCUGCUCAAGAACCACAUUCUUCUGGCUGUUCCUGUGUCCAUCUGCAGCCGCCAGAUCAGAGGUUGUGGCUGAGAAUUCCCCUGUGGACCGGAAAGCUCCCAGAUGCGACAGGGCGGCCUGCUGCGGCCUGGGCUGGGACAGAACCAAGUAGGGACAAACCAGCGUCGGAGUUGGAGUUGGGGCCGGCUGCUCCCCACUCCAGUGGGGGGCCCUCUCACAGCCCAGGGCGUCUGGGCCCCUGUCCGGAGCACUUUCGCAGUUCGCCGCCAACUUUGGGAAGGGUUCUCAGAAAGAGGCUUGCUGGACCAAGGCCAUGUGCUUUACUUGAUCACUUUUGUCUGAGCUCCCAGUCAGAGGGGACGUUUGUGGAGAAUUCGCUGUACUUAGACACACUGUACCUGGAUUCUGACACACUGAUUAUUAGUUACAUGGAGUCACCCAAAUCCCCCACACAGAUUGUUGUGUUAGAUGUAGGGGUAUAUUCUCCUCCCCCCAGAGAAAGGAAGGAGCUUAGACCAUGUCACCCUUGAAUCAAAUCAGCCGCAGGGACACCCUGCACUUCUCACUUCUGAUGUCUGAUCCCUCCCUGUGGAGAUUCCCAUUGCGGUUUCACAACCGUCCUCAAUGCACUGCUGGGAAUCCCCCCUCCCCUUCAGCAUCCUGGGGCACCCCCAGCUGUCAGCACAGGUGCACGCCAGUGGAGUCCAUCCAUGUCGAACACAGCAGGAGGCUGCCCCCUGGAGGUGUGCAGUGCAGAUGCCUGCCCAGCUCCUCCUGUCCUGGACCGACUCCAAGCAUCAGUUAGGACUGCCUGUGUGGCAGCAGGAAGUGCUCAUGAUUCUCUUUAGUUCUAACUGAAGAACCUCACAUGCUGAUGAAUCUGUAGGAACUCCCAUGCUGGCCACGCACAUGUGACUUCAGGUGAGCUAUUUGCAGAAUGCGUCUGGCCAGGUGCAGACACAUUUGGUUUGUAAUGGAGGAGUCCUGAUUUCCUCAUUUUUGACGUGGAGGCAAGAACACUUCCAUUCCAGAGUUAGAGGCAGUGUCUCUAAAACUACAGUGGGGUAGAAACACCAUUUAAAGAAGCUAGCAAUGAUUACUGGAAUAGUUUAACAUUUUGUUUUGUAACGCAUAUCGGUCUGGGUUGGAUAACAGUAUUCCCUGGGUCAGAGGCCAUAAAUUAAACAACUUCAAUGAUCAGAAAUGCUGCUGGGGAGCUGGAAGAAAGUCAAAGACCCACCAGGUGACCAAAGAGUACGUCCCCAGGUUGUUACAGCUCACUAUGGGAGGACUACUCAGAGGCUCACUUACAGCUCAUUGGCCUUUAGACACAAUCACAAGACAUUUACUUAUUUAAUUUCUCAGGCUCGGACAGGUUGAAAGCACAAGAUUAAAACAAGAAUUCCUUAGAGAGGGGAACCCCAAAACCAACUUGACUAACUAACUAAACAACCAAAGUAUAAAGCUUGACAACUGAUAGAGGUCAGAUAUAGGAGCAAAGUAGCAUUUACUACACAACCAAAGCAUCUGGGCUCGGCUGAGUUGGGGGUGUGAUGGCACCGGGGCCGUGGAGGAGCCCAGGCUGUGGGGCUCCGUCUGGGUUUGCUCUUCACUGCCUUGUUGCUGGGUAGCCUUCAGCAUUUUGCUUAACUUCUCUGAGCCUCAAUUUUCUCAUCUAUGAAAUCAGAGCACCCUGCAAAGUUAGGCUGUGGUGAGUAAUGCGUUAGAUAGACAAUAGUUAAUUGAUGGGGUCAUCCAGGGUCUUACCCAGCACACCGGAGUUAAGCUGCAGUCCCCUUCUCCCUCAGGGGCACUCUUGGCUUAUGGUAAGGACCUCAGGCCAUUUUAAAAAGAAGCUAAAUACCAUUCUGAAAAAGAAGGUAAAUAACAUUUAAUGAGUAGUUUAACUAGCAGGGAAACAUUUUAUAUAUUUUAGAAGAUUUAACCAUGGAAGAGUCUAAUUUUACAGAAAUGAGGGCUAUUUUAAGACGGUAAAAUAAGUAUAUGAAAAAGUAGGUUCUAUGUGUCUCUGCAUUGGAUAUUUAUUAAUGGAGUAGGAAGAACUCAGCUACAUCUUGCAACAAUACCACAGUUCUCAUCUGAUUGAAUUCCCGUAAAUACCAUCAAAGAGGACAGAGUCAAGGCCCAUGUUGAAAGGUGAGGACACCGAGGUGGGAGCAGUGACAGAACUUGUCCCAGGCUGUGCAGCUGGGACUGAGACUCAGCCUUGGUGGGCUCAGGGGGCACGUGGACUGCUGGUGUUAGCUGCUGAGCCCUCCAAGGGGCGGGAGAGUGAGAUGGAGUCAGAGGGAACUCUCUCCUUCCCAGCACCAUAGAGCAGGAGCUGCUCAAGGCAGAGGAUCCCUGCCUGCCUUCUCUCUACUCCAAACUCACACACUCAGUGCUGCCCCCUUCUGGGGAGGGCUCUGUCUUCUGGCUGUGAGCUCUUACAGGCUGAGGUGGGCACAUUUUACUUGGGUUCUGUAAAAUUUUUGCCCUUCGUCAAAGUAAUAGGUGCUCUUUGUGUUAAAAAAAAAAAAUGGAGGAAAAAAAAAAAGCCACGCAAGCCCUGGCCACUUUGGCUCAGUGGUCGAGCAUCGAUCUGAGGACCAGAGAGUCCUGGGUUCUGUUCCCGCUAGGGGCACGUACGACCCAAAAAAAACCAAAAAAACAAAAAAAAACAUGCAAAAGCUGCUCACAAUCUCGAGCACAUCAAGGUAUGUUUAUUUCAGGCUGUUUUAUGUAUUUUGGACAUUUGCUUUAUACUACUGAGAAUUUACUGAAUGUGUGAUUUUGAGGGCUGAGAUUUUGCUGCCGAACAUUAUAUCAUAACCAUUUUCCCACAGGAAAGUAUACAAGCUCUUGUAUUUGUUUUAAUUACUGAGUUGUUUUCUUUUCUUUGCUAAAUUGUGUGGUCCCAUUUAAUUCCCAUAAAUAACUGCAAACAUAAAUAUGUGCAUUUCAUAUUUCUCUGUUAGCUUGUGUUCCAACAAUGAA